CCUGUUUUUCAGUUCUGAUUAGACACUAGUGUUGAGAUGUCUGUCUGUCAUGAUAGCAUGUACUGAGUCGGGGCCAGUACCAGAUAAGAACAUUAAACUAUAAUCCAUAAACGUAAGGUAACAACUGAGACCUAAUGGUGCUGUGACAGCAACACUGUGAUUGAGUUUGAGACAGAGAAAAUACAUAUGGUAUGUUGUAUCUGAACAGGUUAGCUUACAAGCUAAAGUUA
rnacentral:lncRNA from 1 species